rnacentral:lncRNA from 1 species
GUGACCUAGGCGUUCUCACAUCAACCAUCAGUGAAGAAGAUGUACCAAGGGCUUGUCUACCUUGUCGACGUAUCGGAGACGUUUUCUCAAGUGAAGAUCUCUCUCUUCUAAAACGGCGUUAGCUUGCAUCGAGUCGCCUUAUAACUCAGCAUAGGGAAGAACCUUUCCCGAGCACUUAGCCUGUGCAAAACAGAGAAAUCACUGCUUUGUGCUGUGGGGGUCAAAUAAGUGAGACAUUUGAACAAGAGAGCUGUGGAAUGUUCCCUGGAGAAGGUGCUGUUGGAGCAGACCUCAGUGAUACGGGAGACUUGGGCCGAGAGACUGGAGGCCAAGGGUGGGGAGUGGACAUGCCCAGACACUGAGGAGCAAUGUGUCAACGGCCUAAAGGUAAAAGUCAGCCAGAAAGUUUAGAUUCUUUCUGUCUCUAAAAAUAGAAUGUGAGCCGA